AACGAACGCUGGCGGCAUGCCUAAUACAUGCAAGACGAACGGUAAGUUGAGUAGCAAUACUUAGCCAAGAGUGUCGUACGGGUGCGUAACACGUAUGCAACCUACCCUAUACAGGAGGAUAGCCUAGGGAAACCUGGAUUAACCCUUCAUAGUAUUAUUGGAUGGCAUCAUUUGAUAAUUAAAACUGAGGUGGUAUAGGAUGGGCAUGCGUCUGAUUAGUUAGUUGGCGGGGUAAUGGCCCACCAAGACGAUGAUCAGUAGGGGUUCUGAGAGGAAGAUCCCCCCACACUGGCACUGAGAUACGGGCCAGACUCCUACGGGAGCAGCAGUAGGAAUAUUGGUCAAUGGAUGCAAGUCUGAACCAGCCAUGCCGCGUGCAGGAAGAAGGCCUUCUGGGUUGUAAACUGCUUUUGCCAGGGGAUAAAAUUUCCAUGCGUGGAAAACUGAAGGUACCUGGUGAAUAAGCCACGGCUAACUACGUGCCAGCAGCCGCGGUAAU
rnacentral:rRNA from 1 species